AACUACCGAGAAGUGAGAAGUCAAGUACUGACCCACCUACUUGCUCGAAUCAGUGAGAAGAAUUGCCUCAUCUUUCCAUUUUUCUGUGUUUAGGAAAUAUUAAGGUGACAAGAAUGAGUAAAGGAAAGAACUCCCCCUGGUACACCUUGUUCUUAAGGUUGCUGUCUUCCUUCUUCAGUUCAUCUGCAGGGAGUGGAACUAAAUCGUUGCACACUGGGCCGGAGGUGGCAAUGGUAGCUGCUGCUAAGCAUUUCUCCUCUGCUCACAAAAUAAAAAUGGGCUAGCUUCCAUUGAUGAUGGAGGUCAUCUCUAUUAUUGCUUCCUUGUUGUUAAAAAUAGAAGUUAAAGGUUGUCCCAAGUGGGCCUCAAGAAUCAUUCGAAUUCAUUUUGAAAAUUUAAAUGGUUAGUGUUUAUGUUGAUUUGGAGGAAAAGGAUACACCUAAUCCUGGUGUGAAAAAGGAAGAAAAUGAAAUAAAUAUAAAGAAAAACACAAGUCUUAAAUUCAGACUUGUCAGAAGAAAAAUCAACAUUAGGUCCAAAUUUUGAAGGGAGAGGGGAAGCUAAAGUUUCUUGUGAGUGAGGAAAGUGGGCCUGGCCUAGCCUUGUGGUCAAAAUUCAAAACUCAAAAGAGAGCUCUUCUGUUCCUCUAAGAUUUCCUUCGUCACAAUCAACUCCCACACCCCCAAAUAUAAUAUAAGCUUGUAAGCAGAGAGGACGGAGGAUAGUGUUGGGAUAUUUAUAGGUGAAUGAAAAUUAAGGCAUAUAGUUUCAAUUAGACANCAACUCUUUCUAAUGGNNNNNNNNNNNNNNNNNNNNNNNNNNNNNNNNNNNNNNNNNNNNNNNNNNNNNNNNNNNNNNNNNNNNNNNNNNNNNNNNNNNNNNNNNNNNNNNNNNNNUUUUAAGCAGAGAGGACGGAGGAUAGUGUUGGGAUAUUUAUAGGUGAAUGAAAAUUAAGGCAUAUAGUUUCAAUUAGACACAACUCUUUCUAAUGGAUACAACUUGUGUCAAAGGAUAUGUCAAGUAUUUAAGACGCUCUUCUAAAAGUCACCAAAAAACCUAUAAAUAAGGCCCCAAUGACAUUUCUCAUUCAUUCCAUCAUCAAUUGAGUUCAAGUCAUUUAAGUGAUUCGUUGUUUUUUGUGAUUUUGAGUGCUACUAUUACAAGAAAGUAAUCAUUGUAUCUUGGGAGACGAUUGUCAACAAACCGUAAGCAUUAGUAUAAGGCAAAUUUGUCUUAAAGAUAUAAAGUCAAACUUUAGCCUCGAUCAACCGUUUGUAAAAUUCAAUAUUUACUUACCUUGUCAUUUAUUUAUUAUACAUAAUUAUUUGACCAUACAUUCUUGAUAAUUCAAGAAUAACAUAUAGAACCCAUAGGGCCAGACCCAAUAAGAAGAAAGGAAGCAGUGCUCACGGCUUAGCCAUUUACUUGGCUCGAAAGAGAGAGAAGAAGUUGUUUCCAUCUUUUCAUCUUUUCAAUUAAUAAGCAUUAGAAGUCAAGUUGGUGCACCUUAUUCUUGAGGUUGGUGUCUUUGUGUUGUGAGGAUCCAUGAAUUGAAGAGCCCAACAGCUGUGGGACGCACCCUCCCAGAGGCAGCCAUGGUUGCUGCUCCUAAGCAUCUCCUCUCCUCAUAAAAUCCCAAUAUGCUAGCUUCACAGGCCUGAUCGAGAUUUUGUGCUUCAGUUUUUUUUUUUCCCAAAAAUUUCAAGCAUUAAUAGUAAACACAAUUCAAAAUUUUAUUAAUUCGAGGAUCGGCUAUAAUUUCUAUCUUUCUUGAACUCUUAUUUUUGUACACCAAAGGAAAUAUCGCCUACUUGAUGUUUGCUUUGAAAUUAGAACAUCUUUCAAAUUAAAAGCUUUUGGGACUUUAUGAAUGACUUUGAAUGUGCUCUUCAUAGACUUCAAAUCUUCAAACUUUUUCUCCCUUAACUUAUUUUAAAGUUGAGAGAGAAUAUUGAAUGACGUAUUUAUAAUGUUUUGUAAAACAAAAGUAUAUUGGUAAUUUAAAAUAUUUUUAAUCAUAUUUUAAAAAUAAUUUUUAUUUGUAAUAUUUUAUUUUUAAUUAUUAUUCAUAUUUAUAUAAUUAUUUUUUAAAAAUAAUUCUCAAAAGAACAAGUCAAAAUUAUCAAAAACAAUUAAAAGAUAUUUUUGAAAAUAAUAUAUUUUUAAUUUUUAAAGAGUAGAAAAUUAUUUUCAAAAAAUAAUUGUCAAAUAAGGUCAUAUAGAUUUUUUUAUUGACAUUGUACUAAAUAAACUAGAAAGAAUUCUUUAUAGUUUAUUUACUAUCAAUGUGUGUUAUUCCUAAACUCUACAUAUUAUGAAAUUCUUUAAUGUAAUACCUACUAUCUUUUACUUUUUCCUGAUCAAGGACUUUCGUAAUUCCUUUACCGUAUUUAUUUGACUAAUACAUUAUAUAGUAUAUUGUUUAAACUAUCAAAGAUCUUGUUUAUGCAUAUGCGAUAAAAAUGAUUCCAAGUUUCGGAACUUCCUAUUUGGGCAUUACUUUCACCCUCAUUUGAAACGAGGGCAUCUUCGUAUAAGACUUCAGCAAGAUUUCGAGUUGAAAAGUAGAAUAAUAUUUUUUGUCAAAACCUCUUGAAGUCCAUUCCAAUUAUAAACCUCUAGCCUCUCACCAUAAGCAACAUGCCAUGAUGAUUAAAUAAUAAAAAUAAAUUUGUUAUAAGACUAUUGUAAAUUAUGAAAAGUAUAUAGACUAAUAAUUGUAUAAAAUAAAUAAAGCAAAUAGAAAUUAAUUCACAAAUAAGGUUGAUGAGUUUGACUUCGUAUCCUUAAGACGAAUUUGCCCGAUUUAGGUACUUGUUUAGUAGUAAUUGUCUCUUAAGAUACAAUGAUUAUUUACUUCAAAUCACUCAAUGUUCUAUGCUCUGGAAAAAUCUUGAAUCAAGGUUUCAAUUCAUCUUGUAUGAGAAGCCUGUCAUUGUUAACUGGGCCUUUUGACUAUUGACAUGGUGAGGUGCCCAAGCUCCAUAAAAGAUAGAGAUACAUCUGAGUCCUGUAUGACCUCUAAUCAGAUAUUUUGAGCUUCUGAUCUCCAAUCUCUGUGUUUUUUUUUUCUUGUUGGGGUUACCUCAACGUUGGAUGACGACACACAACUGGGCUUUGGAUGAUGGGCCAUAUCGAUCUCGAUUGAGACAAAUCACAUGAUUUUUGAGGUAAAUGGUAGUCUAAACUUUCUUGUUGAACAAGAGGGUCAGAAAAGUACGGCGGUCAAAAGCGAAGUCCCACGAGUUUCUGAGCUGUUUCCCUUUCUAGUCUUGAGCCUCCAAUACAAGCUUGAAACCCAAGAAAUCUCAGCUAUAUAAACAGCAGAGAACAUAGAAUCCAAUCACAAGAAGCAAGCAAACUACCAAGAAGUUGAGUACUCGCCCAUCUACUUGCUCCAAUCAGUGAGAAGAAUUGUCUCAUCAUCUGUCCAUUUUUCUGUGUUUAGGAAAUAUUAAGGUAGACAAGAAUGAGUAAUGGAAAGAACUCCGCCUGGUACACCUUGUUCUUAAGGUUUCUGUCUUCCUGCUUCAGUUCAUCUGCAGGGAGUGGAACUAAAUCCUUGCACACUGGGCCAGAGGCGGCAAUGAUAGGUGCUGCUAAGCAUUUCUCCUCUGCUCACAAAAUAAAAAUGGGCUAGCUUCCAUUGAUGAUGGGCAGUUUUUCAGGAGUAAUGCUAGUGUCUCUGGAUGAUGAAGUCUCUCCUAUAAGAUCCCAUGUACAAAUGCUCUAUCUCAUUGGAUGUGUCUGAGAAUGAUCAAUGCAGAGGUUGAAUAACUGCAAAUUUUGGGUUAGGAAUGGCCUAGCCACCAUUCCCAAUCCUCCCAAUUUCGCAGACACAGGAAGAAUCAUAUAAUCUUCCUAAAAACACUCAUGGGUGCAGGUUGAUUUUUCUGUUGUUGAAAUUUCAAAUUGUUUUAGGAGGCAUUGUAUAGCAGUUUGUAUUUGAAUUGUUGUGAUACUUUUCUACCCUUUGUGAAUAAACAUUUCAUAUUUAUUAAAAAGCCUUCCAAUUCAUUUUGAAAUUUUAAAUGGUAAGUGUUUAUGUUGAUUUGAAGGAAAAGCAUACCCUAAUCCUGGUCUUAAAAAGUAAGAAAGAAAAUCACAAGCAUUAAAUUCAGACUUGUUAAAAGAAAAGUCAACAUUAGGUCCACAUUUUGAAGGCACAGGGGAAGCUAAAACUGCUUGUGAGAGAGGCAAGUGGGCCUGGCCUGGCCUAGCAUUGUGGUCAAACUCAAAACUCAAAAGAGGUCUUCUGUUUUUGAACUAUUUCCUUUGUCACAGUCCAAGAGCCAUCACCCAAGUAUUGGGGUAAAAAUUCACGCAUAGUACGAAUUGUAACUCUUGGAAUUCAUGCAUAUAGCCUAUCCUUUUGAAGUCCUAAACUCCUAACUAUGAAAUUCUCUAAUCAAUAUCCUCUAUCUUAUAUUUUUCCUUGAGGAUUCUCAUAGUUCCUUUACAAUGAGCAAGAUUUAGAUGGUAUUUGUUUUUUUACUUAAUUCUAAAUAGAACGUUAAUGCUUAAUAGUGUUAAAUAUUAUAUUGUUUGUUUUUGUAAUAUUUUAUUUCUAUUAAGUAUUAAAAAGUAAAAAAAAUUAAUAUGUUAUUUUUUCUAUUUAGAAAAAAGCUACAUAUUUUGGUGUGUUUGUUUUUUUACUUAAUUCUAAAUAGAACCUUAAUGCUUAAUAGUGUUAAUAUUAGGUUGUUUAUUUUUGUAGUAUUUUAUUUCUAUUAAGUAUUAAAAAGUAAAAAAAACCAAUAUGUUAUUUUUUCUAUUUAGAAAAAGUUACAUAUUUUGGUUUUUUCUAUUUAGUAAAAAGUUUAUAAUAAGUCAUGAAAAAGUAGAAAAACAAACAAUUUAAAUUCUAAAACUAAAUUGCUUUUAUAAAAAAGUCAAAAAAACAAACACCAUAUUGAUUUUUUUAUUUAGUAAAAAGUUUAUAAUAAGUUAUGAAAAAAUAGAAAAACAAACAACUUAAAUUCUAAAACUAAAUCACUUUCAGUAAAAAGCCAGAAAAACAAAUACCACCUUGUGAGGUAGCACAACAUUCUUUGUUGCCAGUUCUUCAAGUUCAUUUUACUAAACUUUUCUAGCUUUUCACCAUAAACAGCCAAAGUAAUCAAAUAGUAAAAAUGAAUUUGUUAGAAGACUGUUAAAAAUGAAUUUGAGGUAAAUGACAGUCUAAAUUUUCUUGUUAAACAAGAAAGUCAGAAAAGGAUGGUGGUCAAAAGCGAAGUCUUCCCAGUUUCUGAGCUAUUUCCUUUUCCACGGUCUUGAGUCCGCUGCCCACAUGCUCAAAUACAAGCUUGAACCCCAAGAAAUCUCAGCUAUAUAAACAGCAGAGAACAUGGAAGCCAAUCACAAGAAACAAGCAAACUACCAAGAAGUUGAGUACUCGUCCAUCUACUUGCUCCAAUCAGUGAGAAGAAUUGUCUCAUCAUCUGUCCAUUUUUCUGAGUUUAGAAAAUAUUAAGGUAGACAAGAAUGAGUAAAGGAAAGAACUCCGCCUGGUACACCUUGUUCUUAAGGUUGCUGUCUUCCUUCUUCAGUUCAUCUGCAGGGAGUGGAACUAAAUCCUUGCAUACUGGGCCGGAGGCAGCAAUGGUAGCCGCUGCUAAGCAUUUCUCCUCUGCUCACAAAAUAAAAAUGGGCUAGCUUCCAUUGAUGAUGGGCGGUUUUUCAGGAGUAAUGCUAGUCUCUCUGGAUGAUGAAGUCUCUCCUACAAGAUCCCAUGCACAAAUUCUCUAUCUCGUUGAGAAUUUUCAAUGCAGAAGUUGAACAACUGCAGAUUAGAUAUCAACCAUGUUGGCAGAUUUCGGGUUGGUAAUUAAUGAUCUACUACCCAGCAGUCCAAUCAUGCCAAUUUCCAGAAAGAAAGAGGAAGAAUCAUAUAAUCUUCCUAAAUACACUUAUGGAUACAAGUUGAUUUCAGGCUUUGUUUAGCAGUUUGUAUUUGAAUUGUUGUCAUACUUUUCUACUCUUUGUGAAUAAAUAUUUCAUAUUUAUUAAAAACCUUCCACAUUUGUCCAAGCCAAGCCUUUACUCCAAGCAGGAGGUUUAUGAUUUUAAAUAGUAAGUGCUUAUGCUGAUUUGGAGGAUAAGGAUAACCUAAUCCAGGUGCGAAGAGGAAAAUAAAAUAAGAAAAACACAGAAGCUUAAAUUCAGACUUGUCAAAGAUAAGUCAAUACUAGGUCCGCAUUUUGAAGGUAGAAGGGAAGCAAAGUUGGUUUGUAACUUGUGAGAGAGGAAAUUGGGCCUAGCCUAGCAUUGUCGUCAAAACUCAAAAGAGAGCUCCUGUUUCUCAACCAUUUCCUUUGUCACGAUCCAAGAGCCAUCACCCAAGUAUUCUGGUCAAAGACGGAAGUCCUCAGUUUCUCCACUGUCUCUAUAUCUCAGUUCACAAUCAACUCCCACACCCCCAAAUAUCAUGUAAGAUUCAAUGAGUGAGCUUAUGAGAAGUCAAGUUGGCGCACCUUAGUCAAGUUAGCAGCAGCCAUGGUCGCUGCUGGCUGCUGUUAAGCAUCUCUUUCUCUCAUAAAUUCCGGAUAUGGUAGCAUAGCAGUCACGAGGUCCUUUUAAGGACCGUGGAAAUACCAUACCUCCGUUUUAAUAGACGUGAUGAGAUUUUGUGGUUCAGGAUUCCAAGCAUUAAUAGUAAACACAUAAUGGUCAGUUGAUUCUAAAAUUUUAUUCAUUUGAGGAUAUUGGUUAUAAUUUAUACCUUUUUUGUACUCUUAUUUUCCUACACUAAAAGUAAUAACACCUACUUGAUGUUUAAUUACUUUCGAAUCAAAAGCUUUUGGGACUUUAUGAUUGGCUUUGAAUCUGUUGUUCACAGCUUUCAAAAACAAUUUUGAAAAACUAGUUUUUAAGCACAAUUUUUAAAAACUAUUUUAUAAUUUAAAUAUAUUUUGGGUUUAUGAUUUCCAAUCCCAUAAUCUAUGUAUUUUUAGAAUUACCUUUUGUCUCCAUGAUGAUACAUGAUUCAAUGAUUCAAUGUGCUAGUGGUGCAUGGUGAGCUAGUGCAUGUUUGAAUUAUUUGCUGGAACUGGGUGUCUUUUUCUUUGUUUUUUGAGGUUGCCUCAAUGUUGGAUGACUGGAUAAUGGGCCUUAUCGAUCUCAAUUAACACAAAUCACAUACUGUUUGAGGUAAAUGUUGGUCUAAUUUUCUUGUUGAACAAGUCAGAAAAGUAUGGUGGUCAAAAGCGAAGUCCCACAAGCUUCUGAGCUAUUUCCUUUUCCAGUCUUGAGCCUCCAAUACAAGCUUGAACCCCAAGAAAUCUCUUUUAUAUAAACGGCAGAGAACAUGGAAUCCAAUCACAAGAAGCAAGCAAACCACCGAAAAGUUAAGAGUACUCUCCCAUCUACUUGCUAGAACCAGUGAGAAGAAUUGUCUCAUCUUUCCAUUUUUCUGGGUUUAGUUAAUACUAAGGUAGACAAGAAUGAGUAAAGAAAAGAACUCCGCCUCGUCCACCAUGUUCUUAAGGUUGCUGUCUUCCUUCUUCAGUUCGUCUCCGGGGAGUGGUAAGUUGAAGAGUUCAAGAAGUACAUCCUUACACACCGGGCCGGAGGCAGCAAUGGUAGCUGCUGCUAAGCAUUUCUCCUCUGCUCACAAAAUAAACUUGGGCUAGCUUCCAUUGAUAAUGGGCAGUUUGUCAGGAGUAAUGCCAGUCUCCCUGGAUGAUGAAGUCUCUCCUAUAAGAUCCGAUGCACAAAUGCUCUAUCCCAUUGGAUGUGUGCGAGAAUUUUCAAGGCAGAAGUUGAAUAACUGCAGAUUAGAUAUCAAACAUGUUGGUUCAUUUUGGGUUGGUAAUGGUCUACUACCCAGCAGUCCAACCCUGCCAAUUUCGCAGAAAGAAAGAGGAAGAAUCAUAUAAUCUUCCUAAAAGCACUUAUGGGUGCAAGUUGAUUUUAGGCUUUGUUUGGGAGUUUGUAUUAAUUUGAAUUGUUGUAAUACUUUUCUACUUUUUUCAAUAAAUAUUUUAUCUUUAUUAAAAAGCCUUCUACAUUUGUCUAAGCUUUUACUUUUCUUCAAAUACGUAAAGGAUAUAAUUUCUAUUUUUUUAAUUUUUUAAAAAAUACUAAAAUAGUCUCUAUUCUUAAAAAGAAUAUUUUUAAAAUAUACUUGUGAAAAGUAUAUUGGAUUUUAGAGACAAAUACAGAGUACUUGUCAAAAGAUGAGUCAACAUUAGCAUUGUGGUCAAAACUCAAAAGAAAGGUCUUGUACUGUUUCUGAAUGAUUUCCUUUGUCACAAUCGAAGAUGGAUCAACCAAGUAUAGUGGUCAAAAAAGAACUCCUCAGUUUCCCCACCAUUACUGAGUCCACAGUCAACUCUCACCCCCCCAAAUACUGUAUAAGCUUGUACUCCAAGAAAUCUCAACUAUAAAUACAUAAACAGCUGACAACAUAGAAGAUAUGUAGAACCGCACCCACAAUAAGAAGUGGGAAGCCAGUGCUCACUACUUAGCCAUUUACUUGGCUUGAAACAGUACGCGAGAAGCUAGAUGUUGUCUUCAUCUUUUCAUCUUUUCAAUAUGAGUGAGCAAGACAAGUCAAGUUGGCGCACCUUAUUCUUGAGGUUUUUAUCUUUGUGUUGUGAUUAUGAAUCGAAGAGUCCAGCAGCUGUGGUACGCACCCACCCAGAGGCAGCCAUGGUCGCUGCUGCUAAGCACCUCUCCUCUCCUCACAAAAUCCGAAUAUGCUAGCUUCACAGGACCCCUUGUGGAAAAUGCCUUACUUCCGUUUUUAUAGAUGUCAUCCAGAUUUUGUAGCUCUAUCUUUUUGUUUUGUUUUUUGGUUUUUUACAAGGAAGUUCCAAGUAUCAUGAGUCAGUCCUUUUACACAUCUUGACCCAUUAAAAUUUUGGGCAAUGGGUGUAAUCUCUAUCUUGUCUUCUUGCUUUGGUGUGUGAAAGGAAAUGCCACCUACGUUUUUAUACAUCUUCUCAUUUUUCUAUCAAAAGAUAAAAACACCAUCUUAGCAAUUUAAUGAUUGAUUUUGGAUCAAAAAGGCUCUUUUCAACAAACACUAAAUUAUCUUGAUGGGGUCUUCAAUUUUGCAUAAAAAUCUUCUUAUCUUUGAAGAUCUUCAAGACAUCUCCAAGUCUUCACAAGAAACCUUAUGAGUUAAGAUUAAGUGACUCAAGCUCAAGAUGGGCAAACUAGAAUUGAGUGGAAGAUCACGAAGUAUUCAGGAUCUGCAUCAUUCGCUGCAUUAACUAGAAUUGAUAUGAGAACAUUCAUAUCAAAGGUAUAUUUUUUAGCACCCAAUUGAUUAGAUUAGUAUCCCUAGGAAGUUAGUUGCAGACACCCCAUUGAUAUAAGGCUUGGAAUGAAGUUUUUUAGAUAUUCCUACGAACUUCAUUAGCCUUUGGAGAGAGUUUAGUGGGCAAACUGCAUCAUUGGCAGGUCAUCCCCUGUGCACAGAUGAAGCUCUGAUGGAAAAAGCUUUUAGAUUCUCAAGUAAGCUUAGCGCCUCCAGUUAUUUUAUCAAGGGGUGGGUUUUCUACUUCUUCUUUUGCUUGCAAAAAACAGGGCUUCAUUAUUUGAGAUGGUCAAAAGUUUGUUUUUGUGGGGGAAACAGGUUGAGAGGUUUUCAACAAAAUGCAAUGGUAAUGGUUUUGGGCCAUUAUAAAUGAUGGACAAUGAGGGUUUGGCUGUGGACUUCCAUGGUAAUAUUUCUAGAGAUACCAAGAAUAUGGUCUUAGAAGUCUGCUUGAAAAUAUGGUUUCCAAUAAAUGUAGUCAUAACAAGGCUUUGAUGGGAGGUGGGAGCUACUUAGAUUUGUCUUUCAAGAAAUUGAUCUCUUUUAGCAAGUUUUUGUGAUUGUCAAUGGAAGAAGAGUAUGAGAAGAAAAUUGAGUGCCUUUCAGAAAGUCCUCCUUGACAACCCAUUCAGAUAGAGAGCUUCACAAAUUGGGGUGAUUAGUUAAUUAAAAAGUAUACAACCAUUCAAGUAGAAAAGAGAAGCACCAAGAAAGCAAGUGGGAUAUCGUUCUAGGUGUGCAUGAAGUUUAAGAUAUUUGGACUAAUGUUAGAAGGCUUAGAUGUUGAUGGUUGGAGUCUACUUAGAUAGAUAUAAGUGCCACAAAGAUGAGGAAAGGGAUUGGGAGGAUGGGAAGAGGAUUUUGAAAGGUGAGAUUGUUGUGUAAAUAUUUUACAAAUAAAUUAAUAAAUAUGAUAUUUAAAUUAAUAAAUAUUUAAUAAUGG
rnacentral:lncRNA from 1 species